rnacentral:rRNA from 1 species
UCUGGUGCCAGCAGCCGCGGUAAUUCCAGCUCCAAUAGCGUAUAUUAAAGUUGUUGCGGUUAAAAAGCUCGUAGUCUGAGUUCAGUUCCGGACUGGUCGGGGAGGUCACCGCCCGGUGCUUGCCCGUAUCAGGUUCCGAACCGCCCACCCGCCGCGUGCGGGGGCCAAGCCGGUUCAGCCGGGGUGCUCUUGACCGAGUGUCCCGCGCGGCCGGCCGCUUCACCUUGAACAAAUGAGAGUGCUCAAAGCAGGCUACUCUUGACACUAAAGCCCGAAUGUUAACUGCAUGGAAUGAUGGAAGAUGAUCUCGGUUCCAUUUUGCUGGGCCCCUUUGGGAAUCCGAGUUAAUGAUAAACAGGGACUGUCGGGGGCAUCCGUACUACGACGCGAGAGGUGAAAUUCAGUGACCGUCGUAGGACGAACAACAGCGAAAGCAUUUGCCAAGAAUGUCUUCGUUGAUCAAGAACGAAAGUUAGAGGAUCGAAGGCGAUCAGAUACCGCCCUAGUUCUAACCCUAAACGAUGCUGACCAGCUAUUCGUUAGCGUUAUUCCCAUGACGUGGCGAGACGCCCCCGGGAAACCUCGAGUCUUUGAGUUCCGGGGGUAGUAUGGUUGCAAAACUGAAACUUAAAGGAAUUGACGGAAGGGCACCACCAGGAGUGGAGCCUGCGGCUUAAUUUGACUCAACACGGGAAACCUCACCAGGCCCGGACACCAGAAGGAUUGACAGAUUAAGAGCUCUUUCUCAAUUUGGUGGGUGGUGGUGCAUGGCCGUUCUUAGUUGGUGGAGUGAUUUGUCUGGUUAAUUCCGGUAACGAACGAGACUCUGGCCUACUAACUAGUGGGCGGGUGUUCCGGUAAGGGGCCCCGCCCGACAAAUGUCUUCUUAGAGGGAUGAGCAGCGAGUAUAGCUGCAGGAGAUUGAGCAAUAACAGGUCUGUG